UAGAAGCUGUUCCAGUAUUUUAGGAUACAGCAGAAAUCCUUAUUUCUUCCGGUGCAGGGGGGGACACUUUAUAAUGACUGUUAGCACUUCCUUCUUUCAAUAUUUGUGCAACUUUAUCUCGACCUGCAAGUUGCACGGUGACGCAAAUCCGCCCCCAUGCUCAUAAUAAACAGAGGAAAUCUAUUCCCCGCGAAAACGAAAACACAAUUAACAUCAGAGGCGAUACUUCAUCCGCAAGGCCCCUCAAGAUUCUCACUGCGGGUCACGGCCAAUGCCAUCUUGUGACCAGUACUUAAAAGGCACGGAAGCCACGAUGACCCCGGCUGCCUCCUAUCAUCACGGUGUUUUCGAGUGAGACUUUUCCGGGUUAAAAUUAGCGGUGAGAUACUAAAGGUUUGCCCUCCAUCACGCAGUCAAAACAAUCCAGGGAAGAGGAUAUGGCAGACACAGCACGCCUCCAGUUAUUUCAGUGACCGACGAUUAGUUUUUUUGUUUUUUUUCUUUUCAGCGGGAAGCAUCAAAAACAGCGCUCUGCGUCUCUCUGCGGAGCUGUAUAAAUGAUCGCAGGUGGGAUUUCUGCUUGUGCCAGCAACUCCAGCAUCAUUCAAAAUCUGCAAGAAUGAAGAAAAGACACAUGUACAGGAGAGGAGACAUACCACUUCAUGGGCUUGUUGUGAAACUAGAGACCAGAAAACCAGC